rnacentral:rRNA from 1 species
GACGAACGCUGGCGGCGUGCUUAACACAUGCAAGUCGAACGGAAAGGCCCUUCGGGGUACUCGAGUGGCGAACGGGUGAGUAACACGUGGGUGAUCUGCCCUGCACUUUGGGAUAAGCCUGGGAAACUGGGUCUAAUACCGAAUAGGACCACGCGCUUCAUGGUGUGUGGUGGAAAGCUUUUGCGGUGUGGGAUGGGCCCGCGGCCUAUCAGCUUGUUGGUGGGGUAAUGGCCUACCAAGGCGACGACGGGUAGCCGGCCUGAGAGGGUGACCGGCCACACUGGGACUGAGAUACGGCCCAGACUCCUACGGGAGGCAGCAGUGGGGAAUAUUGCACAAUGGGCGCAAGCCUGAUGCAGCGACGCCGCGUGAGGGAUGACGGCCUUCGGGUUGUAAACCUCUUUCAAUAGGGACGAAGCGCAAGUGACGGUACCUAUAGAAGAAGCACCGGCCAACUACGUGCCAGCAGCCGCGGUAAUACGUAGGGUGCGAGCGUUGUCCGGAAUUACUGGGCGUUAAAAGCUCGUAGGUGGUUUGUCGCGUUGUUCGUGAAAACUCACAGCUUAACUGUGGGCGUGCGGGCGAUACGGGCAGACUAGAGUACUGCAGGGGAGACUGGAAUUCCUGGUGUAGCGGUGGAAUGCGCAGAUAUCAGGAGGAACACCGGUGGCGAAGGCGGGUCUCUGGGCAGUAACUGACGCUGAGGAGCGAAAGCGUGGGGAGCGAACAGGAUUAGAUACCCUGGUAGUCCACGCCGUAAACGGUGGGUACUAGGUGUGGGUUCCUUCCUUGGGAUCCGUGCCGUAGCUAACGCAUUAAGUACCCCGCCUGGGGAGUACGGCCGCAAGGCUAAAACUCAAAGGAAUUGACGGGGGCCCGCACAAGCGGCGGAGCAUGUGGAUUAAUUCGAUGCAACGCGAAGAACCUUACCUGGGUUUGACAUGCACAGGACGCCGGCAGAGAUGUCGGUUCCCUUGUGGCCUGUGUGCAGGUGGUGCAUGGCUGUCGUCAGCUCGUGUCGUGAGAUGUUGGGUUAAGUCCCGCAACGAGCGCAACCCUUGUCCUAUGUUGCCAGCGGGUUAUGCCGGGGGCUCGUAGGAGACUGCCGGGGUCAACUCGGAGGAAGGUGGGGAUGACGUCAAGUCAUCAUGCCCCUUAUGUCCAGGGCUUCACACAUGCUACAAUGGCCGGUACAAAGGGCUGCGAUGCCGUGAGGUGGAGCGAAUCCUUUCAAAGCCGGUCUCAGUUCGGAUCGGGGUCUGCAACUCGACCCCGUGAAGUCGGAGUCGCUAGUAAUCGCAGAUCAGCAACGCUGCGGUGAAUACGUUCCCGGGCCU